AGCAUGUAUGAUUACCUGCCCUUUGGGCAGCUGGCAUAUAUGUGCAUUCGGUGCAAGGAGCUCCUGGCCCUCAGAGAUCGUGUACGGGUUUUGGAGGCCAGGAUGGCAGAACUGGAGGAGCUAAGGGAGGCAGAGAGAGGUACACAGAUGAGAUUU